AUGAAUUGGAGCUGGAUCAUUCUCUUUCUUAUGUCAGUAACUACAGGUGUCAAAUCCCAGGUCCAGCUGCUGCUGUCUGAAGCUGAGCUAGGAAAAUCAGGGUUUUCAGUGAAGCUGUCCUGCAAGGCUUCAGGUUACACCUUCACUGACUAUAUGAUGAACUGGGUGAAGCAGAGGCCUGGACAGGGACUGGAGUGGAUUGGAAGGAUUUAUCCUGUAAGUGGUAGUACUGACUAUGCUCAGAAAAUCCAUGGCAAGGCCACACUCUCUGUAGACAAAUUCUCCAGAACAACCUACAUGGAACUCAGCAGACUGACAUGUGAGGACUCAGCAGUCUAUUACUGUACAAGACACAGUUUUGCAACAACAUCCUGA